rnacentral:misc_RNA from 1 species
UUUAGGGAGACCUAAUCCACUCAAAUAUCGAAAAACAAUCAGUUAAAUAGAUAUUAAGUUGGUCUAUCCUAGGUCGGUCGAGAUUGGUAAAAGCUUUCAAAGUAUUUUGAGUUCGGUUUAAAAAUCAUAAAAACUACUGGGAAUAGUGUUCAGCAACAUGGCAAUCGCCAGACUGCUGGAUAUUGUCCAGCCAGAACCUUGAAAACUGCAUAGUAACGCGAUUUAAAGCAGGCAGACACAGACAUUCAAGUAGUGAAUGUGUUUGCAGUGGUGAACACCAAAUGUAUUGU